rnacentral:rRNA from 1 species
CGCAUCUGUGCAUGCAGCAUAUCAAUAAGCGGAGGAAAAGAAACUAACAAGGAUUCCCCUAGUAACGGCGAGUGAAGCGGGAAGAGCUCAAAUUUGAAAUCUUAAAGGGUUUCCCUUUACGAAUUGUAGUUUAAAGAAGUGUUUUCUGUUGAGGUUUUGGUAAAAGUUCUUUGGAAUAGGACAUCAUAGAGGGUGAGAAUCCCGUAUUUGACCUUUACUUUCAACUUUGUGAUACACUUUCAAAGAGUCCGGAUUGUUUGGGAAUGCAGUCCAAAAUGGGUGGUAAAUUUCAUCUAAAGCUAAAUAUUGGCGAGAGACCGAUAGCGAACAAGUACCGUGAGGGAAAGAUGAAAAGAACUUUGAAAAGAGAGUUAAACAGUACGUGAAAUUGUCAAAAGGGAAGCGUUUGACACCAGUGUUGUUUUUCUGAAAAUCAAUUAAAGAACUGUUUAUGCUAAGCUGUUUAGACUUUAUCAGCUAACUGUUUAGUUUUGAGCUUUUCUUUAAUGCACUUUUCAGUUAACAAGUCAACAUCAAUUUCUUUUGCUGUAAAAAAGCUUGAGGAAGGUGGCUUGAGAUUCGUCUUAAGUGUUUAUAGCCUCUUGCCUAUGCAGUCGGAGAGAUUGAGGUCUGCAGCGUAGAUCCUUCGGGGCUAAAUGCAUUUGUGCUAAGUUAUAAGCAUUUUAUAGACAACUUGUUGACUAUGAUUUGUCUUGUAGCUUACUCGCUUAUGUUAUUUUACCUACGCUUAGGAUGUUGAACGCGCACAGAGUCUC